AGGACGAACGCUGGCGGCGUGCUUAACACAUGCAAGUCGAACGGAAAGGCCCUUCGGGGUACUCGAGUGGCGAACGGGUGAGUAACACGUGGGUGAUCUGCCCUGCACUUUGGGAUAAGCCUGGGAAACUGGGUCUAAUACCGAAUAUGACCAUGCGCCUCCUGGUGUGUGGUGGAAAGCUUUUGCGGUGUGGGAUGGGCCUGCGGCCUAUCAGCUUGUUGGUGGGUAAUGGCCUACCAAGGCGACGACGGGUAGCCGGCCUGAGAGGGUGACCGGCCACACUGGGACUGAGAUACGGCCCAGACUCCUACGGGAGGCAGCAGUGGGGAAUAUUGCACAAUGGGCGCAAGCCUGAUGCAGCGACGCCGCGUGAGGAUGGACGGUCCUUGGGUUACGUAAACCUCUUUCAGUACCGACGAAGCGCCGUUGUGGUGUGACGGUAGUACGAGAAGAAGCCGACGGCCAACUACG
rnacentral:rRNA from 1 species